rnacentral:sRNA from 1 species
CGGACGGUGGACGCUGGGACGCGUUUGUAGCACUGGCCCCGCCGUUCCGACCCCCCGCCGCCGUCGCCGCCGCCAUGACGGGGCUAGCACUGCUCUACUCCGGGGUCUUCGUGGCCUUCUGGGCCUGCGCGCUGGCCGUGGGUGAGGCCGGGUCCUGGCGGGCGGGAGCAGCAUCGCGGCCGAGCUGGCCGGGUCGGAACUCGGCGGGGAAGUGGCCUGCGGGGAAUACUGGUCCCCCGUGCGCUCUGCACCCGAGGCUCUGGGGACUUGCGCUUGCGAGGGCCUCUGACCCCGACAAAGGAGACCUGGAUCUCCAGCUGCUUGAGGAGGGGUGCGGGCGGGUAGGGGCCGCGAGGGCAGCACUCCCCCGUCCUGACACUAUCGCUGUCUCCCCUCGCUCCCACGUCUUACUGCCGUCCCCCCUUUCUUGCUCCUGACCGGCCCGCUUGGUCACAAGCCGGCUGCUCCGGUUCCUCUUUUUCUGGUCGCUUUGCCCUCCCCCACCCACAGCUUGUUGGGUAAACAGCGGAACGGACUGGGCCGGCGGGAUCUGGCGCGGCGUUGCUGGAGCGCUUGCUCCCUCGGUCCCGCCUCGGAUUUGGGCUUGCGGGUGGCGACCCUGCCUGCGCAGGUGCUUGGUCUGGGAGGUGGUUUUAGCGAGGGAGUGGCAGAAAAUGGAGGCCUAAGCAGAGGAAUCUGUCUACACAGCUGUACUGUCACCUGGGGGCAGCCUGAGGACGCCCCUUUAGGGAGGUGGCCCUUCAGCUCGGCAGCUACUUUAGGUUGACGAACUUCUCUCUACAGAGCAGUCCGUAACCCCCUUUUUUUUCCUCACUGCUGCAGGAGUCUGCUACACCAUUUUUGAUUUGGGCUUCCGCUUUGAUGUGGCAUGGUUCCUGACGGAGACUUCGCCCUUCAUGUGGUCCAACCUGGGCAUUGGCCUAGCUAUCUCCCUGUCUGUGGUUGGGGCAGCCUGGGGCAUCUAUAUUACCGGCUCCUCCAUCAUUGGUGGAGGAGUGAAGGCCCCCAGGAUCAAGACCAAGAACCUGGUCAGCAUCAUCUUCUGUGAGGCUGUGGCCAUCUACGGCAUCAUCAUGGCAAUUGUCAUUAGCAACAUGGCUGAGCCUUUCAGUGCCACAGACCCCAAGGCCAUUGGCCAUCGGAACUACCAUGCAGGCUACUCCAUGUUUGGGGCUGGCCUCACCGUAGGCCUGUCUAACCUCUUCUGUGGAGUCUGCGUGGGCAUCGUGGGCAGUGGGGCUGCCCUGGCCGAUGCUCAGAACCCCAGCCUCUUUGUAAAGAUUCUCAUCGUGGAGAUCUUUGGCAGCGCCAUUGGCCUCUUUGGGGUCAUCGUCGCAAUUCUUCAGGUGAUGAAUCCCCUUGGGGAGCCUCUGUGUCCUUGUCCCCAACCUAGCCUUACCCUCCGUCUGGAGAAGCUGAAGUGCUCUCCUUCUCUACCUAUAACUAUAGAUUCCCCCAAACAGCUUCCACCUCCUCAUUUCCAUCUUCUGGUUUUCUCCUACAGGGGCUCUCUAUUUUUGUCUCUGAUUUGGUAUCACUGACAACAGCCCUGGUUUUUUUUUCCCCCUUUCUAAUGCUUUGUAUCUGUAUAGCUCUUAGUCUCUCCCUCCUUCUGUUCUCUCAUUUUAUAUGCCAUGCUUUUCAUGUCUCCAGUCUGUAUUUUUGAUCUAGACUAGGAUGGAAUUUUGUCUGUCUAUAUCAGUCUGUCAUGGUGUGUUUGACUGUCUCUCAGAGCUAUGUGUAUCUCUCUCUCACAUGCCUGUCAGUAGGACACCAUUGUCUAAAUUGUGUGUGUCUAGUCUGUCUGACAGUGUGUGAGUUUGUGACUAAGGAUCAGCCUGAGGGUCUGAGUGUGACUGUGGGUGCUUGACUGAGUUGAUUCUUAGUGACUAGCUUUAUCCAUAUGCCACUUCUCUCCGUCUGUCCCACAGCGUAACUCUGUGGUUGUCUGUCCCUGUCUGCCUUGUCUGUCACAGUGUGUCCAUCCUGGUUAGUCAUACAUCUCUUGUGGUCUGUCCAUCCAACCAUGUGCUAGGUCUCAUCUUCUGUCAUUUGUCACUGCCUUACCUAUUCCUCUGUCCCUGCCUGAUUUCUCCUGUUCUUUUUUUUGCAGACCUCCAGAGUGAAGAUGGGUGACUAGAUGAUAUGUGUGGGUGGGGCCAUGCCUCACUUCUAUUUAUUGCUGGUUUUCCUGGGACAGGUGGAGCUGUGUCCCUUAGCCUUUCAGAGGCUUGGUGUUCAGGGCCCUCCCUGCACUCACCUCUUGCUGCGUGUUGAUUUGGAGGCACUGAAGUCCAGGCCGAGUCCUCAGUGCGGGGAGCAGGCUGCUGCUGCUGGCUCUGUGCAGCUGCGCACCUGUGUCCCCCACCUCCACCCUCAACCCAUCUUCCUAGUGUUUGUGAAAUAAACUUGGUAUUUGUCUGGGUCA